AUUUUUUUCAAACUCAUAAUACUCUACUGAAUGUGCCAUCGAAAUGAUACAGGAAUCAUCUUAAAUAUUGUCUGUUUCUAUUGGACUUGCUAGUUCACCAACUCCAGAGACCAAUCUCUCAUUCCAUCUUCUAGAGAACCUUGAAUAACUGAUUGGCGGUUUCAUGUAGACAAUUUCGAGUGUAGGCCUAUACUGUUUAAUGAUUCUUUUAGAUCAUAGACGUCAAGCACAUUGAUGACACAAACAAGAAAAAGAAUAGACUAUACAGUCAACACAAUUCCUUGUUUGCUGACCUGUUGGCUGCUCCCCUUGAAUCUCCCUGUUUGUCAACAACAAAAAAAGAGAUAUGGCCUAUAUAUAAGAUCAAAUGUGUCGUUGUCCCUCCAAAAUAAGUCAAUGACCACACGUCCAACACAGAUUAUUCGUUCUGUCAUCGAACUUGACUCAUUCCAUCUUCUGGAUUGCUCAGGAAACCUGAUUGGCGUUAUCUGUCCAUUUAGGUAAUGACCGAGAAGAUGCGGCCUACAUGAAUAUCAUUUCGUCGGCCAUUAUCAUUCGACUACCCAACCGGCUUCUACUACCCUGGUCUCAACACAGCACGGAGUUUUACCCUUAAGAUUUUUGGCUGUUUUUCGCGAUGUGUGAUAUUUCGUUAGAUGAGAUGUUGAUUUUGGCGAGAAAAAUAUUGCGUCUGAAUAUUACUCAUUGAAUGAUAUAUUGACCCAUCCCCAGCAACGUCAACCUGGAGAAGGAUAGGCCACUUUGCAUGGCCUUAACGCUCGAAGGUCACGGAGAUCAUUACGUAAAACGUAUCAUGUAGUGGUGUAGAGGUUGGGUGAGAAAGGGACAUGUUGCUUCAUUAUAUGCUUCAUAACCAUUUGGUAUUCAUUUUGAUAUUGGUUUUUGUAGACCCAUCCCCUGCAAAAGGAAAGGCCAGUUGGACGCUCGAAGGUCACGGAGAUCAUU
rnacentral:lncRNA from 1 species